UGGUAACUUGAAAUAGCCAUGUAAAAGCUGCCUAUCUGCCAUUCUUUGAAGGGGUACAGAAAUAUGGCUUACAUGCAUAGAAAUUAAAUAUUUUUAAUUAUGUUUUGUGUGGUUUGGAACAGAAAACUUAUGGUGCAUACUAACUUUCCCCUUUUUCCCAUUCACUUUUCAUGAAGAACCAAAGACUGAUGGAAGAAAACACCUGCCUGAAGGAGCAGGUGCGGCAGAUAGAGCAGUCCAGGCAACCAGUAUCUGAGAAGAUGCCUAUUGCAGACCAGUUGUUCAAGGAAAUGUCCAAUUGCUUGUUUGACUUGAAAGCGCUGUGCAGUAUUCUUACCCAGAGAGCUCAGGGCAAGGAGCCUAACCUUUCCUUACUGCUGGGAAUCAGAUCACUGAGCUGUUCAGCUGAAGAGAAUGAAAAUUACCACAGCACAGAAACCCUUUCAAAGAAGCUUUUGGACGUUUGUCAGUUACGAAAAGAUAUUGAUGAAUUAAGGACUAUAAUGUCGGACCGUUAUGCUCAGGAUAUGGGGGACAAUUGCAUCACUCAAUGACAACAUUUCAUCUAGUAGCAAAUGACUUAUUAAAUGCUGCUGUGUGACAGGUCUUUGCAUUUCUAUUAAGGAGCCAUAUUGGAAGACUGCAAAUAACGCCUCAUGUGCAUCUGUCUGAAGACUGUGCGUAUUUAAUCUCCGGAAUCUGCUGGGGAGGGGAGAGUCAUUGUUUGAACAGAGUGGUACAAACUACAAGAAACCUUUUCUCCAAACUACUGAAUGUAGGAACAAGCUGUGAAGAAUGAUUCAGUUGGACACUGUUUCCUUCAUUAAGGGUUCAUUUUAUUAGUUUACCUAAUUUCUGGAAUCAGAGCAUCAAAACAGCCCUGCUGCUGCUACUCUCAGUCCUUUCCUUCAUCAAAGGUUUGUAUGGGAUUAUCUGUGUUCUGAAAUUGGAGGAGAGUAUCAAAGGACCUAUAGCUGUGUGUGGGGAAGCCAGUCUUCUGCAGCUGCACUUCAGUCUAGGAGCUGCAAUUGGAACAAUCUGGAACGCUACAAAAUGUAGUUGCUCUUCAAGUUGCAUAAAAAAUUUUAUACAGGGAAGAUGUUGGUUUUAGUAAUGGAUGACUAGCUUGUUUGUCCAAAAGCAGAAGACCCAAGUUUUAAUUCCUUUAUGCAAAUGAAGUCCAUAAAAUACAGUGCUUUCUAAUUAUUACAAGCACUUUCACAUUGCUGUAAGAAGUUUUGAUAAUGUGAAGUCUGUGGCAAACCCAGAGAAGCUGGAAGGCAUGAAAAUACAGCAUAGUACGUGGCUGCUGGGGAAAAAGCCCACUGUACUUUGUGGUGUUUGUACCAUGCUUAUUUUUCCCUUAGGUCAUCUCACUUUUAAAAUGUGGGUGGUAUGUGUUCCAUCCCUGAAGGCCUCUGAGGUGGUUAUGAACCACCUCAAACUGUUUUUUUACCACAGCUACAAAACAAAUGUUUGGCACAUGGCAAAAUUAGGGCUCAAGACAGAAUGUUCCCACUUAGCAGUAUUAAGUAUUCGGUUAUCUGAGGACUGCAAAAUUUUCCACAUUGUCUGGGAAUUCUUUAUUUCUCCAUUUAUGUAGGAAGCAAUUAUAUUUAAAAAAUUAAGAUCAUGUUCCAUAGUUUAUUCAGUGAGUGUCACUUGGCAGUGCUGUUUCACUCCUCUGAGACAGAUGACAUUAAGGCUUCUGAUUUCCUGGAACAUUGCUGCAAGUUAGCUGCAAAGUUAUGCAUGCUGUAAAAUAGUAUUUAACUGAAGGAAACAGAUACCUGCAAAGAGCAAAACCACUCUCAGAUCACACUGUGUGUGAGCAUCAGCUACAGAUGUGGUAUUAAAAGAAAGUUUCAAAUGGCUAAGGUUCAAGUCAGUCAACUGACCCAUAGUGUGGAUAAUGGCAGAAAUCUCUUAGAAAGCUUAGCAAUUAGAACAAAGAAAAUUCUAGGGCAAGAUUUUUACGGCAAAAGUGUUAAUAUCUUCAGUUUUCUGAUUAUAUUUGUGUUAACAGGAAAAAAAAAAGGCAUAGCAGUGUAGACCGGCUACCAGUUUUAACUUGGUGAUGUUUUGCUUGCUUUUCAUCGAUGAACAGUUAAUGGUUUUUUUAUAAUUUAGUGAUUUGAUUUUUUAGCUAUAUGGACUUAUUUAUUUGACAGUUUUCUCUAUCCUGAAACAUGGACUAAUUUGUGGAAAAAAAAAAAAAGUGUUGUUAUUUAUGUUAUUGCUACAUGGUAUUUUCAGCUAGAUUAAUGUGACUGGUUCAGCUCCUGUGAGCAGUAAAACAGCAUCUAGAUGAAAUCUCAAGUGAAAUUGCCUAGUGUGUCUACUUCAAGGUAAAAGAAACCCAGGCCAUCUUAUUUUAAAUUUCUGUGCUCUUUCUGUAGGUUUCAAGGUGUGCUUUUAUACUACUGCAAAACUGAAAACAAGGAUCUUUCUUUGCACAAAUGGGCUUGCACAGUUUCCUGUGCCUCUAACAGUACCGGCUUUUGUGAGUUGGGCCUCGGCUCGUUCCUUAGGUGUAGUUCAUUGGUGGUGGUGGCCCUGCAGUGACAUAGUAGUCUCCAGUUCAUGGUACCUGUCUCAUAUCAGAAUUCAACAAUAGCAUUACAGAGAAUAAAUUAUAAGUGCUAGGGAGAGAGGCAACACCCAAGUUGCAUGUUAUUGUUUCCUUACAUGGAAAUGCUGUACCUAUAAAAAUUAACAAGCACCAUAUUUUUCUAAAUUUGGUGGAAAUAAUGAGUUUAACAGAGCAGUUAGGGAGGAGCACAAGAUUUCUUCGAGUCCCUUUGAACUUUUAAGCUGGUACCUUGGCUGGUGUGCCUCUACUGUCCCUCCACUUACAUGGUGAUACUGUACUGCAGAGUUGAGAUCACUAAUUUUAGAUUUGCAAAGCACUUCAGGAACUUUUAUGCUCUUCAAGUAUUAGUUGGAAAGUCCCUCAGAAAGGAGGACCCAUUUUAGUUGUAAUACUUUUAUUACAGUGCUCUAGUCUUGCACUGUCAUAUUUUUAUUAUGAACCCUGUAAUUUUUAUGUUGACUUUAGAGCACUUAAUUUUAAAAAACCCUGAGUUUAUCUGCCUCAGUCAAAUAAAAGUAGGGAGCGAAAGGAUGGAUGUAUGAGCCAAAGAUGCAGACUACCAGUUGACUGUCUACAGUGAUCCACUAUUUUCCUUUGAUUUCUUAAAAUUUGGCCUGUUGUAGUAGUAGCAAUUAUUAUAUCUGCAUCAGUUUAUGGAUGCCUCUAAAUGGAAUAAGCUUUGUCUAAGAUAUGCAUGGUUGUUUAAUUGGUUAAAAUGUAGUGUGUGUGGUCUCAUUCAGCGUAUUUAAUACAGAGUUGAUUAACGAAUGUUAACAUUGGAAUUGCUUAGAUUUAGUCAUGACAACUUCUUGCUGUAGCUAUUAGACAAUCUCAAGGGCUGAAAACCAACUGCUCAUGAAUGGAUACUGUGCUGUUUUGGCUGUCAGCAAAUGUGUACAGUAAUGUUCUGUAUAGUUUCAGAUUGAAUUUAUACAAUCCUUUAAAAGAUAUUUACAGUAACUACUGUAUUCAAGAAUGUAUUUUGAAAAAGACUUGGAAAGUAACUGUCUUCGGACAAGCUAUAGGUGAUGCUAUGUAUUUAUAGUAUAGAAGUAACACGGCUCAGUUGUGUAAAUAUGAUUUAGGUUGCUCGCCCCUGCUCUGCAGCUUCGUAGUGUGAUAGUUGUGUGAAAUUGUGGAGAUUGCUGUAGCCAUGCACUUGGGCUCCAGCAUUUGAAACUGCUGGUGGCCAUGAAGUCAUUACAAGAGCUGAAAUUUUGCCCAUUUCACUUACAAAGGUUUCCUUCCUUUGCCUUUGUUGCCCACCUUUCAUUUGAAAUGGAGGCAGGGGAGGGAUGACGUUUCCCUUGCACGAUAAGAGCACAAGGAAAAGAAGCAAACCCCUUCCUCUGUGACCUGCUGUCCUAGCACAGGCAGCAACGGCAAGCUGCAGUCUCUCUGCAGGGGCAUAAUUUGCUCCAGUUUUCCUCGUCCUUAUCAGUGAUGUUACGCAGGUGGAGCUGGAACUAUAAUUGGGCUCUUCUCAUUUAUCCCAGAAGUUCUGUCAUGAGUGGGAAAAACAUCAUCUGAGCUAAUCUGCAUUCUUAGACUGCAGACAAAUCAGUGGUUGUUGUCUAAAGGGAUGACGUCUUCUCAUAGCUUAUUAGCAAUAUUAAUUCCACAGCUGCAUACCUUUGUGCCUUUUUUUGCCUGAAGUGUAUACUCCCCUUGAACUUUAGAGAAGUUAUUAGGAUGCUGAUGACUGCACCUUGUUUUCUUCUUACUUGCCGAUAUUUUGUUCAUAAGCUUUUGUAGUCAGAACUCUUGCAUGAUGUCUAGAAACAGAAGUACUUAAACUGGGUACUAGGUGUACACUUUAAAUGUUAGGCUGGUUACAGUAUGCAGCGUGAGCAGGAAACUCCAACCAUAAUGUGUUCAUUUUGCGUAUAUAAAUUGCAGUAUGUCAUUAGUUCAGUGGGGAGGAGCAUCUGGAGCUAUCUUUUAAAAGCACAGCUGACAUAUGUAUUGGAUCAGUCCCUGAAGACUGGUAGUUUUGUAAAUUGGGUUCAAUUUGUGAACCGCUCAGAAUACCUCAAUAUGUAAAUAGAGUUGUCAUGACUUAAUCACAAUGUGUUCAUUGUAAAAAGUAAAGGAGCCACUGGCUGGCUUAGCUUUAGGCUUGUUGUUCUUGCCUCUUUUUGUAAUUUUUUUUAAAGUAGGGUUUACAGCUAGAAUUUUGAAUGCCAAAGUUCUAUUUAUUAAAUAAUAAUAAAAGUUUUCAUUGUUAAUGACUGGUAUUUUUCCACUGGAAAUUGUUUGUUGAUGUUUGGGAUUUGUAUCCACAGAGCAAAAAUAAAUUUUGUUACAAAACUGA